rnacentral:rRNA from 1 species
GUAGGUGGCAAGCGUUGUCCGGAAUUAUUGGGCGUAAAGCGCGCGCAGGCGGUUCUUUAAGUCUGAUGUGAAAGCCCACGGCUCAACCGUGGAGGGUCAUUGGAAACUGGAGAACUUGAGUACAGAAGAGGAAAGCGGAAUUCCACGUGUAGCGGUGAAAUGCGUAGAGAUGUGGAGGAACACCAGUGGCGAAGGCGGCUUUCUGGUCUGUAACUGACGCCGAGGCGCGAAAGCGUGGGGAGCAAACAGGGAUUAGAUACCCUGGUAGCCCACGCCGUAAACGAUGAGUGCUAAGUGUUAGGGGGGUUUCCGCCCCCUUAGUGCUGCAGCUAACGCAUUAAGCACUCCGCCUGGGGAUACGGCCGCAAGGCUG